UAAAAAAAGAGAUUUAUUAAGACAUUUACAUUAUUCUCCACAACGCUAGCCUGUGUCACAAACCUUACAAUUGUAAUUGCUACCACAAUGCAAAAAAUGCCGUUUCAGAUACCCAAAAUUCAAUGUUUCCCCGGACACCCCCUAGAAUUGUGACUUACAAAUUAUCAAGUUACCCCCUCCCCCUAAAUAUAAAAUCCUGGCGGCGCCACUGUAAUAAGAGAGGGGAAGUUGUAAGAUGGGAAAACGUGGGGUAACUGAAGAAAACCUGUGGUGUUUAAAAGGAGUUACACAUGAAAGGGCUGUUCUCACAUGUCACUGGGGCGGAACUGUAGGACAUAAAGACAACUACCUGCAGAAAUCAAACCUCAAUCGCAGACAAGGGCGUCAAUCAUGGGGGAUGGGAGGACGCACUCCCUCCACUAUUUGGGUUGGAGAUAAAUACAUAAUUACUCCCUUCACUUUUUGCCGUAUUUUGCUUUCUGUACAACACACGAUACAUGGUUAAUAGUUAUUCAGUACCAAUUGUUGUCGAACUUGCAGCAUUUUGAAAUUGGAAUUUUAAUUUUCAAAACCCCCCGAUCUUCUCCAUGGGUAUAACAAUGUCUAGAAGCGCCCUAUCCCAGAAAGACUCUGUUUCAAUUGAACAAUAAAGACUGUUAUAAAUUUUGCCAUAAAUAAUUGUUGUGACAAUACCACAAAAUUUAAGGGUGCACAUGCUUCCAGGUCUGCCAGGAAUGGAUUGUCGCCCUUGAUGGUAGAGGUAUAAAAGGCAAGAGCGAGAAUGCAUUCCGAAAAGUGGAAGGAGGGAGGCGCCCACAGACGAACUUUAUUACACAUUAUACAGGAAAAAGUGAAAUAGAUAUGUUCUAGAUUUUUACACAGCUAAUUUUUGUGGGCAUCGAAGAUUAAUCUAACUAUCUAAGGGAAUAAUUUUGACACUAAGAUAAUUAAUAAAAUUGAUCUAGUAGAACCAAAAUCAUGCGUCAGUUGUGUAAAGUUUUAACAGGUUUGAUGGCCCCUUAAAUUUAAGCAUGGCUAAAAUUGGAUAUACUAGCUAGAACAUUUUUAAUAAUCUUAGUGUCAAAAUUCAUCUCUUCCAUUAAAUUUUCGAUGCUUUCUAAUUAUAGCUACAGCUGUGUAAAAAUUUGAAACACAGCUAUUCUGGACAUCCUGUAUUGUAAAUGAUCAAAAACGUAUAGGCUCGCGUUCACCCGUCCCGCAGGAUUUAUGCUCUUAGACUAUGUGCACACGGUAACGUUUUCGAGCGUUUUCAGCUGUAACGUUUUCAAAGAGUGUCGUUUUCAAGCCGUGUCCACACGAAAACGGAUGAAAACGUCAUCUUAUGACGAAAACGUUCUCAAUGCUAAAAACGUUUUCGGACAAGCGUUUUCACGUUGAAACGCAAAAAAUCCAAGAUGGCGGCUUAAAAUCAAAAUGUUAUAUUUUUGUUUCCUGGAAGCUUAGAUCUUUCAUUGGAUCAUUAAUUCUUAAGUUAAAAACUUUAGCAACAAAUAAAACAAAAUGUAUAGCCUUUCAAAUGUAUAAUGAUUUAUGAACGAUUUAAAAUGCGGUUUGCUUUCGAAGAAGCGACAGACUUCGUAUCGGUGAUGCUAAACAGUACAUAUAAAACUGUUUACUUUAUGAUAAUGAGCAGAGAACAUUUUAAGAAACUCGUUGACAAGUAAUGACUUUAUCUGGUGGAAAAUGAAUGGUGAUAACAAGCCGCUAGAGAUGGAAUUUUUAUCGAGACAAACAUUUGCAUCUCGUGAAAACGUUUCCGUGUGGACAGAGCGUCAAACUGACAAAAUUGGAAACGACGUUUUAGAAACGCUCGGAAACGUUACCGUGUGCACAUAGUCUAAAACA